rnacentral:rRNA from 1 species
GCAAGACUGACCCAGCCAUGCCGCGUGCAGGAAGACGGCCCUCUGGGUUGUAAACUGCUUUUAUCUGGGAAGAAAAAGUCCAUGCGUGGAAAAUUGCCGGUACCAGAUGAAUAAGCACCGGCUAACUCCGUGCCAGCAGCCGCGGUAAUACGGAGGGUGCAAGCGUUGUCCGGAUUUAUUGGGUUUAAAGGGUGCGUAGGCGGCUGAAUAAGUCAGCGGUGAAAGACUUCGGCUUAACCGGAGCAGUGCCGUUGAUACUGUUUAGCUUGAGUGUUGGAGGGGUACAUGGAAUUGAUGGUGUAGCGGUGAAAUGCAUAGAUACCAUCAGGAACACCGAUAGCGAAGGCAUUGUACUGGCCAACAACUGACGCUGAGGCACGAAAGUGUGGGGAUCGAACAGGAUUAGAUACCCUGGUAGUCCACACCGUAAACGAUGAUUACUCGCUGUUAUGSUGUAURCUGUAGCGGCCAAGCGAAAGCGUUAAGUAAUCCACCUGGGGAGUACGCCGGCAACGGUGAAACUCAAAUGAA